rnacentral:rRNA from 1 species
GAUGAACGCUGGCGGUAUGCUUAACACAUGCAAGUCGAACGGACUCUUCGGAGUUAGUGGCGGACGGGUGUGUAACGCGUGAGAAUCUGGCUUUGGGUUCGGGACAACCACUGGAAACGGUGGCUAAUACCGGAUGUGCCGAGAGGUAAAAGAGCAAUUGCCUGCAGAUGAGGUCGCGUCUGAUUAGCUAGUUGGUGAGGUAAAGGCUCACCAAGGCAGCGAUCAGUAGCUGGUCUGAGAGGAUGACCAGCCACACUGGGACUGAGACACGGCCCAGACUCCUACGGGGGGCAGCAGUGGAGAAUGUUCCGCAAUGGGCGAGAGCCUGACGGAGCAAUACCGCGUGAGAGAAGAAGGCUCUUGGGUUGUAAACCUCUUUUCGUAGGGAAGAACAAAAUGACGGUACCUAAGGAAUCAGCAUCGGCUAACUACGUG